UCCACGGUAGUAUAGUGGUGAGUCUCCGCGUCUGUCACAUGCGAGACCCGGGUUCAAUUCUCGGCCGGGGAG
rnacentral:tRNA from 1 species